rnacentral:rRNA from 1 species
UACAGAGGGUGCGAGCGUUGUCCGGAAUCACUGGGCGUAAAGGGCGCGUAGGCGGCUUGAUAAGCGUGCGGUGAAAGCCCGGGGCUCAACCCCGGGUCGGCCGUGCGAACUGUCGAGCUGGAGCACUGUAGAGGCAGGUGGAAUUCCGGGUGUAGCGGUGAAAUGCGCAGAUAUCAGGAGGAACACCGGUGGCGAAGGCGGGACUCUGGGCCGAUACUGACGCUGAGGAGCGAAAGCGUGGGGAGCAAACAGG